UGUGAGAAUGAGAAGGGCGUUCGGUGGAUGCCUUGGCACUAGGAGGCGAUGAAGGACGUGGUACGCUGCGAAAAGCCAUGGGGAGCCGCGAACAGGCUUUGAUCCGUGGAUGUCCGAAUGGGGCAACCCCCUCGCAAGAGGAUCAUGCACUGAAUACAUAGGUGUAUGAGGCAAACCCGGGGAACUGAAACAUCUCAGUACCUGGAGGAAAAGACAUCAACAGAGAUUCCGCUAGUAGUGGCGAGCGAACGCGGAACAGGCCAAUGCCUCGGCAAGAACAAGCAAAACGGUCUGGAAAGUCCGGCAAUAAUAGGUGAUAGCCCUGUAUGCGUAAUGUCUUGUUGAGGAUUCGAGUAGGGCGGGGCACGUGAAACCCUGUCUGAACAUGGGGGGACCACCCUCCAAGCCUAAAUACUCCCUAGUGACCGAUAGUGAACAAGUACCGUGAGGGAAAGGUGAAAAGCACCCCGAUGAGGGGAGUGAAAGAGACCUGAAACCGGACGCCUACAAGCAGUCGGAGCCUCUUAUGGGGUGACGGCGUACCUUUUGUAUAAUGGGUCAGCGAGUUUCUGUUUGCAGCGAGCUUAAGCCGUUAGGUGUAGGCGUAGCGAAAGCGAGUCUGAAUAGGGCGAAUGAGUUGCUGGCAGAAGACCCGAAACCGAGUGAUCUAGCCAUGGCCAGGCUGAAGGUGCGGUAACACGCACUGGAGGGCCGAACCCACGCCUGUUGAAAAAGUCGGGGAUGAGCUGUGGCUAGGGGUGAAAGGCCAAUCAAACUCGGAGAUAGCUGGUUCUCCGCGAAAUCUAUUGAGGUAGAUCGUCGGGUGUUUACCCUGGGGGGUAGAGCACUGGAUGGGCUAGGGGGGCCCAAAGCCUUACCAAACCUAACCAAACUCCGAAUACCCAGGAGUAUAGCCCGGCAGACAGACAGUGGGUGCUAAGGUCCAUUGUCGAGAGGGAAACAGCCCAGACCACCAGCUAAGGCCCCCAAAUCGUGGCUAAGUGGGAAAGGAUGUGGGGAUUCCAAAACAACCAGGAGGUUGGCUUAGAAGCAGCCAUCCUUUAAAGAAAGCGUAAUAGCUCACUGGUCUAUUAGAAACCCUGCGCCGAAAAUGUAACGGGGCUUAAGCCACGNNNNNNNNNNNNNNNNNNNNNNNNNNNNNNNNNNNNNNNNNNNNNNNNNNNNNNNNNNNNNNNNNNNNNNNNNNNNNNNNNNNNNNNNNUCAAGCCACGUGCCGAAGCUGUGGGUGCAUUCUUUGAAUGCGCGGUAGCGGAGCGUUCCGUAAGUCUGCGAAGGAGGCGGGGUGACCCCCUCUGGAGAUAUCGGAAGUGCGAAUGCUGACAUGAGUAGCGAUAAACAGUGCGAGAAACACUGUCGCCGAAAGUCCAAGGGUUCCUGCGCAAGGUUAAUCCACGCAGGGUGAGCCGGCCCCUAAGGCGAGGGCGAGAGCCGUAGUCGAUGGGAACCAGUUGAAUAUUACUGGGCCUGCCAGAAGUGACGAAUGCAAUAUGUUGUCUGCCCUUAAUGGAUUGGGCAGGCUUUUGGAGCAUUCCAGGAAAUAGCUCUGGCGUAUAGACCGUACCCUAAACCGACACAGGUGGACUGGUAGAGUAUACCAAGGCGCUUGAGAGAACGAUGCUGAAGGAACUAGGCAAAUUGCUCGUGUAACUUCGGGAUAAACGAGACCCAAUCGUGGGCAACCAUGGUUGGGUGGCACAGACCAGGGGGUAGCGACUGUUUAGUAAAAACACAGGGCUCUGCGAAAUCGUGAGAUGACGUAUAGGGCCUGACGCCUGCCCGGUGCCGGAAGGUUAAGAGGAGAUGUGAGAGCAUUGAAUUGAAGCCCCGGUAAACGGCGGCCGUAACUAUAACGGUCCUAAGGUAGCGAAAUUCCUUGUCGGGUAAGUUCCGACCUGCACGAAUGGCGUAACGACUUCCCCGCUGUCUCCAGCAUCGACUCAGCGAAAUUGAAUUCCCCGUGAAGAUGCGGGGUACCCGCGGUCAGACGGAAAGACCCUAUGAACCUUUACUGUAGCUUUGCAGUGGCAUCAGGAAAAUUCUGUGUAGGAUAGGUCGGAGGCUUUGAAACCCGGGCGCCAGCUCGGGUGGAGCCAUCCUUGAAAUACGACCCUGAAUUUUUCUGAUGUCUAACCGAGACCAGUUAGCCUGGUUCGGGACCCUGCAUGGUGGACAGUUUGACUGGGGCGGUCGCCUCCCAAAGUGUAACGGAGGCGCGCGAUGGUGGGCUCAAGUCGGUCGGACAUCGACUGUUGAGUGCAAUGGCAUAAGCCCGCCUGACUGCGAGAAUGACAGUUCGAGCAGAGACGAAAGUCGGCCAUAGUGAUCCGGUGGUCCCACGUGGACGGGCCAUCGCUCAACGGAUAAAAGGUACUCUAGGGAUAACAGGCUGAUCUCCCCCAAGAGUCCACAUCGACGGGGAGGUUUGGCACCUCGAUGUCGGCUCAUCACAUCCUGGGGCUGGAGCAGGUCCCAAGGGUUCGGCUGUUCGCCGAUUAAAGUGGUACGUGAGCUGGGUUUAGAACGUCGUGAGACAGUUCGGUCCCUAUCUGCCGUGGGUGUAAGAGACUUGAGAGGAUUUGUCCCUAGUACGAGAGGACCGGGAUGAACAUACCUCUGGUGCACCGGUUGUCGCGCCAGCGGCACAGCCGGGUAGCUAAGUGUGGACGGGAUAACCGCUGAAAGCAUCUAAGCGGGAAACCCACCUCAAAACAAGGUCUCAUAGGGCCGUGAAAGACCAUCACGUUGAUAGGUCAGGUGUGUAAGCGCGGUAACGCGCUCAGCUAACUGAUCCUAAUCGCCCAUAUCUCUCACUCC
rnacentral:rRNA from 1 species